rnacentral:rRNA from 1 species
CACGGUGGUUGCGAGCGUUGUCCGAAAUUACUAGGCGUAAAGGGCAGGCAGGCGGAUCCAUAAGUUUAUCGUUUAAGGCGUCGGCUUAACCGGCGUAGGGCGGUAGGUACUGUGGAUCUGGAAUGCGGUUGGGGAAGACAGAAUUCCUGGUGUAGCGGUGGAAUGCGCAGAGAUCAGGAGGAAUACCGAAGGCGAAGGCAGUCUUCCAAGCCGUUAUUGACGCUCAACUGCGAAGGUGUGGGUAUCAAACAGGAUUAGAUACCCUGGUAGUCCCUGA